rnacentral:rRNA from 1 species
AGAGUUUGAUCCUGGCUCAGGACGAACGCUGGCGGCGUGCUUAACACAUGCAAGUCGAACGGACUUCCCAGCUUGCUGGGUGGUUAGUGGCGAACGGGUGAGUAACACGUGAGCAACCUGCCCCUGACUCUGGGAUAACUCCGGGAAACCGGGGCUAAUACCGGAUACGACAUCGCCUCGCAUGGGGUGGUGUGGAAAGGGUUUACUGGUUGGGGAUGGGCUCGCGGCCUAUCAGCUUGUUGGUGGGGUGAUGGCUCACCAAGGCGACGACGGGUAGCCGGCCUGAGAGGGUGACCGGCCACACUGGGACUGAGACACGGCCCAGACUCCUACGGGAGGCAGCAGUGGGGAAUAUUGCGCAAUGGGCGGAAGCCUGACGCAGCGACGCCGCGUGAGGGAUGACGGCCUUCGGGUUGUAAACCUCUUUCAGCAGGGAAGAAGCUAACGUGACGGUACCUGCAGAAGAAGCACCGGCUAACUACGUGCCAGCAGCCGCGGUAAUACGUAGGGUGCAAGCGUUGUCCGGAAUUAUUGGGCGUAAAGAGCUCGUAGGCGGUCUGUCGCGUCUGCUGUGAAAACUCAGGGCUCAACCCUGGGCGUGCAGUGGGUACGGGCAGACUGGAGUGCAGUAGGGGAGACUGGAAUUCCUGGUGUAGCGGUGAAAUGCGCAGAUAUCAGGAGGAACACCGGUGGCGAAGGCGGGUCUCUGGGCUGUUACUGACGCUGAGGAGCGAAAGCGUGGGGAGCGAACAGGAUUAGAUACCCUGGUAGUCCACGCCGUAAACGUUGGGCGCUAGGUGUGGGUCCCAUUCCACGGGGUCUGUGCCGCAGCUAACGCAUUAAGCGCCCCGCCUGGGGAGUACGGCCGCAAGGCUAAAACUCAAAGGAAUUGACGGGGCC